ensembl:lncRNA
GCUGAUAGGUCCUCUCCUCCACCUCUUCCUGGGGAGAUGCCUCCCUGGGCCACACCCAGCCCCCCAAGGCCAAGGUAAACCAGCUCCCCAGCUGUGAUGGGGUGCAGGGGCAGGCUGAGCCCAGCACGGAGAAGGGGCCAUUCCCAUGAAAUGUCUACAACAGGCUAACCCAUCAAGGCAGAACACAGGGCACCUGCAAAACACCAGGGAAGAAAAGAAAAUAUUUUAGGAGACAUGCACGUUUUUGGACACUUCUAAACCGAAAAAUCAAAGCAAUCCUUAUCUCAAGCUCUAGGACAGCAUCGAGAAAUCUUCCAGAGCCACCUUUGAACACAGAGUGCAGGGUAGGAGGUCAACAAGCACAACAGAACCCAGGGAAGACAGAAAUGAAUCCCAACACAGAAUGCAGCAGCCAACUACAAAUGAAGAUGUGAUCACAACCAAACUCUCCAGCAAUGCAGGAAUUC